GGUCGCAUGGCCCAAUGGUCAAGGCGCCUGACUACGAUUAUUACUUGUAAUCAGUAAUCAGGAGAUUCCAGGUUCGACUCCUGGUGUGAUCG